rnacentral:rRNA from 1 species
UACGUAGGGGGCAAGCGUUGUCCGGAUUUAUUGGGCGUAAAGAGCGUGUAGGCGGCCAGGUAGGUCAGCUGUGAAAACUCGAGGCUCAACCUCGAGACGUCGGUUGAAACCACUUGGCUAGAGUCCGGAAGAGGAGAGUGGAAUUCCUGGUGUAGCGGUGAAAUGCGCAGAUAUCAGGAAGAACACCGGUGGCGAAGGCGGUUCUCUGGGCCUGUACUGACGCUGAGGAGCGAAAGCGUGGGGAGCGAACAGG